rnacentral:rRNA from 1 species
AGCAGCCGCGGUAAUUCCAGCUCCAAUAGCGUAUAUUAAAGUUGUUGCAGUUAAAAAGCUCGUAGUUGAAUUUCGGGAUCAGAUUGUCGGUCGUGCCUCGGUACGUACUGGCAUUAUUGGUUCCUACCUUCUGAAGAACCGCGAUGUCAUUAAUUUGGUGUCGUGGGGGAAUCAGGACUGUUACUUUAGAAAAAAUUAGAGUGUUUAAAGCAGGCGCACGCUUGAAUACAUUAGCAUGGAAUAAUGAAAUAGGACGUUUGAUUCUAUUUUGUUGGUUUCUAGGAUCGACGUAAUGAUUAAUAGGGAUAGUUGGGGGCAUUAGUAUUCAAUUGUCAGAGGUGAAAUUCUUGGAUUUAUUGAAGACUAACUACUGCGAAAGCAUUUGCCAAGGAUGUUUUCAUUAAUCAAGAACGAAAGUUAGGGGAUCGAAGACGAUCAGAUACCGUCGUAGUCUUAACCAUAAACUAUGCCGACUAGGGAUCGGAUGAUGUUAAUUUUUAAUGACUCAUUCGGCGCCUUA